rnacentral:rRNA from 1 species
CGCGCAGGCGGCUCGUUAAGUCCAAGGUGAAAUCCCACGGCUCAACUGUGGGGGGACCCUGGAUACUGGCGGGCUGGAGUGCGGGAGAGGGAAGCGGAAUUCCACGUGUAACGGUGAAAUGUAUAGAUAUGUGGAGGAACACCGGUGGCGAAGGCGGCUUCCUGGACCGUAACUGACGCUGAGGCGCGAAAGCUGGGGGAGCGAACAG